UGGCGCUUGAGUAGCUCGGCUCUUACUGCAAGCUCCGUAGCAGCCGCAGUAACGGACAGUUGUUUUAAACUGUGUCGCUUUGGGCUGGUGUAAGUGUUUUAUCAUACGACCUUAAUGGAUAAACAUGUCUGAAGAGGAAAGUACGGUUGUUGGUGAACUUUUUAAAGAUGUCAAAUUCUACGUGGUUGGGGACAUUGACCCGAAGGUGGUGCAGCUGUUGAAAGACGGAAAAGGCAAAGAAGUCUCCUACAAUGCUUUGGCCACUCAUAUUAUUGCAGAGGAUGGGGACAACCCAGAAGUGGGGGAAUCUCGUGAGGUUUUUGAUCUGCCUGUGGUCAAGCCAUCCUGGGUGAUCCUCUCGGUUCGAUGUGGAGACCUGUUACCAGUUACAGGGUUCUCUCCAGAAUCAGGACAGAUAUUCUUUGGAGUGACAGCCUGUCUUCCUCGUCUUCCAGAUGACCUCAAUGCAUUGUGGGCAUAUGUAACCUUUUAUGGUGGAGAAUGUCAGCUUAACCUUAACAAAAAGGUGACACACUUGGUGGUGAAUGAACCAAAGGGGGCCAAGUUUGAGUGUGCCCUGAAACACCCCGGUAUCAAGAUUGUCACUCCAGACUGGAUAACAGAUUCUGUAAAAGCUAAGAGCCGGAAUGAUGAAGCGCUCUAUCACCCUCGACUUACUUAUGUGGAGCCAGAGGAAGUGGAUGAGAGUGAGCCAGAGUCAUAUGACCAACGUUCCCACUCAGAUGGAAGCUACAGCCCGCAACGCUCCCGGCUGUCCAGUGGUGGCUCGUCUGAGGAGUCAAGUCCCCGCAGACGACCUGGUCCCAAAAAACUGAACUCCAUCUCCCCGUCGUCCCCACAGAAAACCGAACGUCGCAGCGAGCGCAUGUUUGAUGACUCUGACGAUGACUCGUCCACAGAAAAGGAAGGUACCAACCUCAACUGGACUCCAGCAGAAGUUGUGACACCAACCCCUCCAUUUGCGUCAGGCACUGCCAGGCGGCGAAGUGGGCCACCUGGCAACAAGAAUCCAGUAUCCUCAACAGGCGGUGGGCUCAUCAACCUGUGUGCCACUGUUCCUCCAGUUCCUGGCACCCACCCCAUCCCAGCAGAGGUCCGCACUGCUGCCGCCGUCAGUCAAAAUGCACAACAAGGAGGUUUAUCAGUUCAAGAUAGCAUCCCUGGUUGGAGCCCAGCAGCUAGAACACUACGCAAUAUUACCAACAACUCUGACAUGCAGCCGACCAUUCGACCCACCAAUGUAGCACAUAUUAUCCAGAAUCUGACAGCCAAUCACGGAAAGCCAUUAGAGCAACAAACCAAUCAGAGCCAUGCUCAGACGCCAAACAGUACCAAUCCUCUUAUGUUCAAUCAGUCAAAAAUGGCUGGGCAACAACUCUCUGCGCAGCAGCAGCAACAGCAGCAGCAGCAGCAGCAGCAGCAGCAGCAGCAACAGCAGCAACAGCAACAGCAGUUAAUGCAGCUGUCACACCAGACGGUCCAACACCACCAACAGUUACCCCAACAAGCGCAACACCCCAUUAUGCAGCUCCAGCUCCAGCAGCAGCAACAGCAGCAGCAUCAGAUGAUGCAGCUACAUCACCAACAUCAACAGCAGCAAUCAGUUGUACAACAGCAGGGGUUUCCCCAGUUGUCCCAACAGCAUCAGUUCCUCCAACAACAACAACAACAACAGCAGCAGCAGCAGCAGCAGCAGCAACAGCAGCAACUGCACCAACAGCAGAUGUUUUCACAGCAACAGCAACAUGCCUUCUCUCAGCAGCAGCUGCGCCCUCAGCAGCUCUUACGCCCUGGUCUACAGCAGCUGCAACAGCAGCAAGCUCUGCAACAACAGCUACAGCAAUUCCAACAGCAGCAACGCAUGCAGAUAUUACAGCAGCAGCAACAACAAAAUCAGCAAUUACACCAACAGCAUCUACAGCAGCAACAACAGCAACAGCACUACCUGCAGCAGCAACAAAUCCAGCAGAUGCAGCAGCAACAGCAGGUUAUGCAGCAGCAGAACCAACAGGGCAUGCAGCCGCAACAUCAUCAGCAGCAACAGACUCUUCAGCCGCAGAUACAGCAGCCUGCUCAUAUCUCCCUGUUUGGACAUGAGCCGGGACAAGAAAUUCCACAGGAUGGCUUUCUGCUGGGAUGUGUGUUCGCCAUUGCUGACUACCCAGAACAGAUAGCCGACAAACAAUUGCUGGCCACAUGGAAACGGGUGAUCCAGGCCUAUGGUGGUGCCGUUGACCCCUCUUUGACCAGCCGUUGUACCCACCUGCUUUGUGAGAGUCAGGUCAGCAACAUGUAUGUGCAGGCCCUCAGAGAGGGAAAACGUUGUGUAACAGCCCACUGGCUCAACACAGUGCUUAAAAGGAAGAGGAUGGUGCCUCCUCAUCGGACACUCCAUCUGCCAUUUGCCUUCCCUCCUGGAGCCAAGCCUUGCUCUCAUCAUAUUAUCUCUGUGACUGGUUUUGUGGACGCUGACAGAGAUGACUUGAAGUUGAUGGCUUACUUGGCUGGUGCUAGAUACACCGGGUACCUGUGCCGGAGCAACACUGUCCUUGUCUGCAAAGAACCCACCGGACUUAAGUAUGAGAAGGCCAAAGAAUGGAAAAUUCCAUGUGUAAACGCCCAGUGGAUGUGUGAUAUUCUUUUGGGAAACUUUGAAGCACUAAGACAAAUUCAGCACAGCAGAUACUCAGUUUAUACGCAUCCUGAGCCUCUGGUGCCAAACCUACAACUGGUCCAGAACCUGCUUGCUCCUUGGAGAACACCAAUCAAAAUAUCUCAAGAAGCUUUAGCGAACCUGCAGCUCAUCCAGAAACAGAAGCUGGCUGACUCCACUAACCAGCCAGCCAACAAAAAAGCCCGACUUGAGGAGAUCCAGUCCCCCAGUAAGAAGCUUCCACCGGAGUCCACUCCAAGAGUUAUUUUCACAGGGUUCGAGCCCACACAAGUUCAGCAAUACACAAAGAGGCUGUAUGCUUUAGGUGGUGAAGUAGCAGAUGGCAGUCUGAAGGUGACACACCUAGUGGCAAGUAAAGUGAAGCGCACUGUCAAAUUUCUCACCGCAAUGUCUGUGGUGAAACACAUUGUCACCCCAGAGUGGCUUGAAGAGAGCUGGAGGUGCCAGAAGUUUGUCGAGGAGCAGAGCUACAUUCUGAGGGAUGCCGAAGCUGAGGUCUUGUUUGGUUUCAGUCUGGAAGAAUCCCUCAUGAAAGCCCACAGUGCACCACUCUUCAAGGGAAAGUAUUUCUAUCUGACCCCUGGAAUGUGCCCUAGUCUCAGCACCAUGAAGUCGAUCGUGGAAAGCGCUGGAGGGAAGCUGCUCGCGAAACAGCCCUCAUACAGGAAGAUCAUGGAGCAUAAACAAAACAAGAAUCUCCCAGAGAUCAUCUUGAUUUCUUGUGACAAUGAUCUACACCUGUGUCGAGAGUACUUCCUUAAAAAUAUUGAUGUCCACAACGCUGAGUUCAUUCUGACCGGAGUUCUCACCCAGAAACUUAACUAUGAUUCAUAUCCUUUUGACGCUUCAUCCAACUCCAUGAUUUCUCAUUCUCAAAAAUAAAACUUUCAUAUACACGCGGUGAUUGAAAAGUAACUCCCCAUUUUGAAGUACUUGUCAUUUACUUCUAAACAAUAAUUCUUACAAGAAAUGAACAUGAGAAGAAAGUGUAUUGCAUGGAGUUUUUUCUUUACAAUUGGAUAUGGGCGCCGGCAUUAGCCAGCGGUUUGGGAAGCGCAUGAACUGACCCCACAAGGAACUCUUGUGGGAUGGAAGACAGAACUUCUCCUAUUCGCCCUUCAAGUUCUUCCAAAGUCCUUGCUCCUUUAAACAUGGAACGUUACAGACACAAAUUGAGAAAACUAUUACAACAUAUGAAUAAAUUAGAAGUAUUUUAAUAUAGGGAGUUACUUUUCAAUCACCUUGUAGAUUAGCGUUAGUGAACCUUUUCUAUGCCACACGUUCAUACACAUCGAUAUGGAUAAAAGUAAUAAUAUAUCAUUCAGUGUUUCCCACAGGACUUGCGGUGGUUGGGGGCGCGCGGGGGCACGACCGCCGUCUCGCACAACACAACGUACUGAAAGCCAGCUGUCAUGUGCCCAGAUAACACGUUCACUCCUGAGGCUGUCAAGCAGAGAGCCCGAGGCCGCGUGUCGGCGGGUACGCCGGGUAGGAGCGAGGCACUUAAUGUCGCUUGCGGUGCUGCCCUCAAAACUACACAAGACUGAAUUAGACAGCCUAAGACAAGGUCAUGUGCUACAUACUGUAUUACUUAUGUUUAUGCUAUUCUGCAAAUUGAUCCAUCUCUACGCCGCUCUUAUGCCUCCUGCCCACCUUUUCAAGUGACCCGAGGAGGCUGAUGAAGGACCGGACGCAUGUCUUCAAGGCAUUCUUGAAGAGGACGUGAUCAGCCACACUUGUACACAACAACUCGCAAAGCUUUCUCCAUCGAACAUUGAAACAGAAAAACCCAAUCGGCAGGCGUCAGCUGUAUUCAAAGCUAAACUAACAAAAGACAGAUUCCACAUUUCCAGCAAUAAUAUAACUAAAUCACUGCAAUAACGGUCAAGCGGAACCACAAACGGCGGAAGCGAGCCCCUCCGAUUUGGUCGUUCAACACCAAUGUUUUUGUGGGAAUCCUUCAUAUAGUUGACCGUUGUUUUCGUUUUUUCACUCAUUCGCCGCGUAUGGCGAAUGCAAGGUUGUAUGGUUUGUGUCCGAUACUGUCAAAUAUUUUCCAAGAUGGCGAGGACUCGAUUUGUAGCAGAUUUGAAAAUUGGGUUACCAGCGAAUACAUCUGGGAGGGCACGACGACAACAAUUCAAAAGGAAAACUUGGCAGGCCUAGCGGUUAGCGCAUCUGCCUCACAGUUCUGAAGUCUCAGAUGGACUAACUGCUAACCAAUAAUGAAUUGUCUCUGAAUUGCCCAUUGGUAGCCAUGUCAAUGGGUUAAUGACCAAUAAAGUUGUUUUGCAGAACUAAUUGCAGAACUACUCAGCGGUGUUUGUUGAUGUUGCGACAGAAGUCACGUGAUGAACUUCGAGAGGAACUCGUAUCGAGGGCUGCAAUCUGCUCACAUUCAACCAAAUGCUACAACGCUAAUGGACUAUUCGAUAAUGACACUCAACAUACUGAGACAUUUUGUCAGUAAAUAAUUUCAAUAGUCUUCAACGAUCUGAUGAAGUCAACCCAAACUGAAAAUAAUACACUUUUGUCAUACCUUGUCUUAGUUCUAAUCCACUGACAAAUUAAAAAAAAAAAAAAAAAAAAAAAGAUCCACUAUCCUGAAUAUCACAUUAAUACUUGCCACAAUUUCAUUAAAAAUGGUGUAUUGGGUUCAUUUGUAGCAUCCCAAAGGACCAGCAUCAAAAUCAACAAGGUGACACGCAUGCAGCCUUUCAACUACAGCUUUUACUCAAUACAAACUUUAAAUAUACAAUUCUGCAGUUUGCGGUUAUCUUUCUUGCUGUACAUACACUCGAUAGUGACAUCAUCAAACCGUGUAAAUAUUCCCUUCUGCUAAAAUGACUACUGCACGCGCGCGCGCACACACACACAAAAUCCUAAUUAAUCCCAAUUAUAAAUGCAAAUCAGGAACAUCUUUGAUUAAGAAAUAGCCAAGUUCCUUGUUGGUUUGUGAUGUCCUCCUCUGACACAACCGUGUUGCAGAGGAGGGAAGGCGAGGACACAGAAAGGGUUGUAAUUAAUAUUCAAGUGCUUCAUGUGAGAUAUUUCUAAUUACUCCCCGGCCCCUCCCUCUGUUGCAUCCGACACACUUUUGGCCUGCCAACUUCGUCCCUGUUCCACAGGAUGCAGUGGAAUUACAGGCUAAUUACACAGAGGCGGGCACUGGGAUUCAUUUGGCCCUGCAAUUUACAUAUGAGCUAAUUACGCUGUGAUGAAACAAAUUAUUCAUUUGGCCAAUUAUUGCUGCUUUCUCAUUACAUUUUUUUUUUUUGCAAAUGUAAGAGUUACAGACAAAGGGGAGCGCAGAGGACUCAUUUUAAUGUGAAAAAGAAUUAGAUUCCUGGAGAUGCUAGCUAAUCUUUUCUGUGUUGUGGCACUGAUGUUAUAACCAAACAAAAAGCCACAUGCCGAACAGUUUCCCCCAAAAAAAAAAAAAAAAAAAAAAAUCCUCUGUCGAACUCAAACCUAUCAACGUGAUUAAAAAAUAAAAAUGGACUAAACCCUUGAAACCCCAAACGGCUUCAGAACCAUCUCCACCGACCAUUUCUGUCCAAACUCUUGGAACCUGCUGUAGUCUCCUAACUCAAAAGACCACGAACCAAUGACAAGGUCAAAAUAACAAGCAAUCUUCUUCCCUCCAUUUCGGUGCUCCAUUUCCAGUAUGCAGACCGCGCCGUCCUUCUCUCCCAAGCCCGAACCAACCGUCGUCAUCGGUUGUGCAGCCCUCAACCGGUUUCAAUCAUGUCUUUCUGACACACAACAAUGCAUAACAGGUUAAACUGCGCGCUGGUUCGGAAUUGUUUUUGUGUUUUGGCAGAACGGCUCCUGUUUUCAAAAUUGUUCAAGCAAUCGGAGGCAAAAAACAAACGCCUGUACUGUCAAGGCUGCUAGUAUAGUCGUCGUAUAUAAAAUUGGCCAACAACAAGUUUUGAGCAGACGUCUUAGAAAUUAUUUAUUGGUUCUGAUUGGCUCUCGCCAGGUGGCUGGUAACUUCCUGCUGGGGGUUUCACCUUAUAUCAACAAAACACACGAAAGAAUAUUUCACUUGAGCGACGCGCAUUAGUUCCAUCUUUUGCGCACCCGGAGAAGUAGACUCGGACUUCCCAGCAUGCCGAGCAGCAUUUUCUGGCCUACAUAUUUGGGUUAAUUAUGUGUCCAUUGUAAUGUUAGAUGUUUUUGCGUUUCCCCACGGUAACAGUUGUCAAUGUGUUUUACUCACCUGUCGGUUUACGUUUUCGGAGGUGGUACUUUGUAGGGCGCUACAAUCCUGUCACUAUUGAUUUUUAUUUUUUAUUUUUUUUAAGCUAUGGGAUUAGAAUCAGAAUCUUCUUUAUUUGCCAAGUAUGUCCAAAAACCACACAAGGAAUUUGUCUCCGGUAGUUGGAGGCGCUCUAGUAUGACAACAGAGAACACUUGGGAGACAUAAAGACAUUGAGAAAAAAACAAAACAAAACAAAACACUGAGCAAUAAAGGGUUGCUUGCUAUCUGGUAAUGUUGGUACAUUUUUUAAAAUGUGUAUUUUUUUUACCAAUUGUGCAAAAAGAGAGAUUGCAGGUUUCUAGGGGACUGGGAUGAUUGUGUUUGAAACAGGAUGAGACGUCACACGGUUCCAGAGAUCCAUUGAAGAUCUGUGUGAAGACUGGAGCGAGUUGGUCUGCACAGAC